rnacentral:tRNA from 1 species
GGGUAGGUACCCAAGUGGCCAAAGGGGACAGACUGUAAAUCUGUUGCGCUUGCGCUUCCAAGGUUCGAAUCCUUGCCUGCCCACCA